UACGUAGGGUGCAAGCGUUGUCCGGAAUUAUUGGGCGUAAAGAGCUCGUAGGCGGUCUGUCGCGUCGGCUGUGAAAACCCGAGGCUCAACCUCGGGCCUGCAGUCGAUACGGGCAAACUAGAGUACUGCAGGGGAGACUGGAAUUCCUGGUGUAGCGGUGAAAUGCGCAGAUAUCAGGAGGAACACCGGUGGCGAAGGCGGGUCUGUGGGCAGUAACUGACGCUGAGGAGCGAAAGCGUGGGGAGCGAACAGG
rnacentral:rRNA from 1 species